GCAAGCGUGGUAUAAUGGUUUGAGUGUUGGACUAUGAUUCUGGAGGCUAGGGUUCGAUUCCCAGUUCUGCCA